UCCUCUUUCUCCCUCUUAGAGGCCCUCUCUCUCUUUCUCUGUAGGAGUGUAGUCUCUUUUUUUUCUCCUUAGGAUGGUAGGUUACUAGAUAUUCUCUCUUGUAUUUGAGUCUUAUUGAAAGCCCUUGGCGGUGCCGGCCAAAAGGCUUGAAUUAUUGGCUUUAAUACAAAGUUCAAUAUUGUUUUAUUGUAGAUAUCUCUUCUAGCUUCUCAUAGCCGUUUUCCGUUUGAGAUUUGGACAAAAAUACAAUGAGAUAUGAAUUUUCAAAAGUAAAGAAGAAAGUAAGGUGUUUUUUGGGGCGGCUGCUGGAUCUGACUUUCAGGCCUGAGGUAAGCUUCUACCCCUAAUUUUAUAUUUUCUCCUUUUAGAUCUGUUUAUUAGCUUUCUAUUGCCGUUUGGAAUUUGUGAUUUGGUUUAGUAAUGAAUUAGAUAUGAAAUUCCAAAGUUUGGAUGCCUAGUUUUGGUGUUGUUUCUACCAUUGUGCGUUGAAUUAGAGCUGUCAGUGGAAAGUGAGAGUGAACGUCAAGUUUAAUAUUUUUACCUUGUAGAUGACUUAAGUGGCUUUUCAAAUCUAUAUUGCAUGUUGAAUUUGACUGAGAAUCGAAUUAUUUAUGAAUUUUCAAAGUCCAUCCAUAGUUUUGGGUGGCUAUCUCGACUAGCCGUGUUGGAGCAAGGCUGCGAAAUCAAGAUUUGAUAGAGAUCAUUUGGAGGUUGGAGCUCGUGAUUUGGAGGUUGGAGCUUGUCAUAUGGAGGUUGGAACUUGUCAUUUGGAGAUUGGAGCUUAUGUAUGUAGGCGCAAUUUCUAUAACAACUUACUUCUUUGUGAGGUUCAAUCUUACCUUACACUAUCAUAUAUUAAUUUUUUAUAUGGUUACUAUUGCUUCAAUUUUUCACAUUAUUUUUAUUACUUUUGUAUUUUAUGUCCUUUAUUAUUUCAAUAUACCCAAUUCCUUGGAAUCCCUUCCUAUGCAACUACUUCAUAUUCUUAUCAUAUCAUUGUUUGAUCAAAAGUAAUUGUAAGUUUGGUUUAAUUAUCAAACUAUUGUUGUAAUAAAGUCAUUAUUGUUUCACUUUGAUUAUUUUAUAUGUCUAUAAUAGAAUAAUGUUUUUCAACUAUAAAUCCUUAUAGCAUUUUAGCUUUUGGUUUUAAACAUUUCUACUUUUGGUUUUUGGAGAAAAUAAUAUUUUUUUAUUGUAAAAAAUAUAUCAAUGAUACAAGAAGCUUGAAAUAAAAAAAAGUUGGUAUUCAAGGGUGUUGAUUAAAUUACACUUGAAUAGCAAUGCAAAUUUUUGUC